AGCAAUUGGAACGGGCAGUUUUUAAGGCUGCACUGAGUAUAAGCUCAACUCUUCUGGAGGCCAAGAAACUUGCUAUUAUCAUGACACAUUUUCAUCAAUGAUUCCUGUCAUGGUGGAUUCUUAUUUUGCUCCUGCUGCAUUUCCAGAGGUGGUCAUACUUACCUAAAAUAGCUGGCACGUUUGUAUCUGUGAGAAGCUGAACUCAGCCUGCUCUGCUUGAACAGAUGAAUUGAAGACAGAUUUUUCUCUUUACCCAACCCCAUUAUAGAUGCAUUUCUCCUGGAGAAUCAACUCUCACAGCAGUGUGAAACCAGUUAACAUUAGCAAGCCACUUCCUCAUUUCACAAAAUACUGCUGCUUUUCUGUUGUCCUGGAUCAUUCUCACUCCCCUGUCAGUCAGGUGAGUGGCUUAGCAGGAAGGGCCAAACUUGUGCCUCAUCCUUGCGAGCUGUGCAUCUGCCCUGUGACACAGCCCUCCCCUGGUGCAGCUGUGCAGCCAGACCUGUCACAUGGAGGUACCAUGCUGCUGGCUGUCACCCCUCCAGGGCUAUUCUGCGCACCAUUUUGCUCCUGGAAGUCCUGGAUAAUUGUAUCACAGCUAUGGGAGUCUGGCACUUUCUUACAGAGAACACAACUGGAAGCGGAGCUAAUGGUGAUCUUCAGAGCAACAUGUUUGGUCCAAAACUUUCCAAAGAAGAACUGUAGCAUGAAUAUAUUUGGAAACUCCAUGAUUGUGCUAUACUGACCUUCAUUGCAACUGCAAUUUUUUUAUUUAUUUUUUUAUUCCCUCUCCUGUAUUUUAGAGCUUUUCUUACCUAGCUGCAUCUAUUCAGGUAAUGGAAAAAUAUUAUUUCUUUAUAAUUAAGUUCAAUAUGUCUGCAGCCUAGAUAGACUGUAUUUACAGGGCUGGCUCUUUCUGCAUGUAGCAAGGGCUGCUUUACCAGAAGUCUAAUCCUGAAUCAGUAGGAAUGGUGGCAUUAAAUUAAAUGGGAGCAGGAUCACACCAUGCAUUAUUUUAGCCAAGCUCGCAUGCCACAAAGAAAUGUGUUGAAACAUCUAUUUAAAUAAAAAAAAAAAGAGAAACAUACGGUUAAAUAAUUAAUGGGAAUCACAAAACACCUACACAGGAUAGUGGGAAGCAUAGAAAUCCUCAUACACGUAUUUGAAGUUACACCACAGAUUUCUUGGGUGUUUUCCUUUUUUGCUCUGCUAU